rnacentral:rRNA from 1 species
UCGGGUUGUAAAGCACUUUUGUCCGGAAAGAAAACUUCGGGGCUAAUACCUCUGGAGGAUGACGGUACCGGAAGAAUAAGCACCGGCUAACUACGUGCCAGCAGCGCGGUAAUCGUAGGGUGCGAGCGUUAAUCGGAAUUACUGGGCGUAAAGCGUGCGCAGGCGGUCUGUUAAGACAGAUGUGAAAUCCCCGGGCUUAACCUGGGAACUGCAUUUGUGACUGGCAGGCUAGAGUAUGGCAGAGGGGGGUAGAAUUCCACGUGUAGCAGUGAAAUGCGUAGAGAUGUGGAGGAAUACCGAUGGCGAAGGCAGCCCCCUGGGCCAAUACUGACGCUCAUGCACGAAAGCGUGGGGAGCAAACAGGAUUAGAUACCCUGGUAGUCCACGCCCUAAACGAUGUCAACUAGUUGUUGGGGAUUCAUUUCCUUAGUAACGUAGCUAACGCGUGAAGUUGACCGCCUGGGGAGUACGGUCGCAAGAUUAAAACUCAAAGGAAUUGACGGGGACCCGCACAAGCGGUGGAUGAUGUGGAUUAAUUCGAUGCAACGCGAAAAACCUUACCUACCCUUGACAUGGUCGGAACCCUGGUG